AACGAACGUUAGCGGCGCGCUUAACACAUGCAAGUCGCACGAGAAAGGGCUUCGGCCCCGGUAAAGUGGCGCACGGGUGAGUAACACGUGGACAAUCUUCCCUCGGGCGGGGGAUAACAUUCCGAAAGGAGUGCUAAUACCGCAUAAGACCACGAUUCCGAAAGGAGUUGAGGUAAAGCCGGCCUCUAUAUAUAGCUGGCACCUGAGUUCGAUGAGUCCGCGUCCCAUCAGCUAGGUUGGAGGGUAAUGGCCUACCAAGGCUAAGACGGGUAGCUGGUCUGAGAGGAUGAUCAGCCACACUGG
rnacentral:rRNA from 1 species